rnacentral:rRNA from 1 species
AUUGAACGCUGGCGGCAGGCCUAACACAUGCAAGUCGAGCGAGCGGCGGACGGGUGAGUAAUGUCUGGGAAACUGCCUGAUGGAGGGGGAUAACUCCUGGAAACGGUAGCUAAUACCCCAUACCAUCAGAUUGGCCCAGAUGGGAUUAGCUAGUGGGUGGGGUAAUGGCUCACCUAGGGGACGAGCCCUAGCUGGUCUGAGAGGAUGACCAGCCACACUGGAACUGAGACACGGUCCAGACUCCUACGGGAGGCAGCAGUGGGGAAUAUUGCACAAUGGGCGCAAGCCUGAUGCAGCCAUGCCGCGUGUGUGAAGAAGGCCUUCGGGUUGUAAAGCACUUUCAGCGGGGAGGCGUUACCCGCAGAAGAAGCACCGGCUAACUCCGUGCCAGCCGCCGCGGUAAUUC